GGGGCGAAUCCCCGCUGGGUCGAGGGCCUGAACGGGAGCCAAUCGAGCAGCCGAGGCUACUGCCAAUCACGCGGCUCCCUCCAAUCCCACCCGUGCCAUUUCCAAAAUCUCGGUCCCACUGUGCAGCUCAAAUGUGGUGUUCACUCUGCCAAUCGCUGGAGGAUAGAGUGGGAACAGGAAUAAGCAGAGUUAAGAGGCCAGGACAAAAGAAGUUAAAGAGCGCCCAAUACAUACAUGUUUUUGAAGGCGGGCAGAGGGAAUAAAGUCCCCCCAGUGAGGGUCUAUGGGCCUGAUUGUGUAGUUCUGAUGGAGCCCCCUUUGAGCAAGAGGAACCCGCCAGCGCUGAGAUUAGCGGAUUUGGCAACGGCUCAGGUCCAGCCGCUUCAGAAUAUGACAGGCUUCCCGGCGCUGGCCGGCCCGCCCGCCCACUCCCAACUCCGGGCCGCCGUCGCGCACCUCCGCCUGCGGGACCUGGGCGCUGACCCCGGCGUGGCCACCACUCCGCUCGGACCCGAGCACAUGGCCCAGGCGAGCACGCUGGGCCUCAGCCCUCCCUCCCAGGCGUUCCCGGCACACCCGGAGGCUCCGGCAGCCGCCGCCCGUGCUGCAGCCUUGGUCGCGCACCCCGGCGCGGGCAGCUACCCCUGCGGCGGGGGCAGCAGUGGCGCGCAGCCCUCCGCGCCCCCGCCCCCAGCCCCUCCUCUUCCUCCCACCCCUUCACCCCCUCCCCCUCCCCCGCCUCCUCCUCCUCCUGCCCUCUCGGGCUACACCACCACCAACAGUGGCGGCGGCGGCAGCAGCGGCAAAGGCCACAGCAGGGACUUCGUCCUCCGGAGGGACCUUUCCGCCACGGCCCCCGCGGCGGCCAUGCACGGGGCCCCGCUCGGAGGGGAGCAGCGGUCCGGCACCGGCUCCCCCCAGCACCCGGCCCCGCCUCCCCACUCGGCCGGCAUGUUCAUCUCCGCCAGCGGCACCUACGCGGGCCCGGACGGCAGCGGCGGCCCGGCGCUCUUCCCCGCGCUGCACGACACGCCGGGGGCCCCAGGCGGCCACCCGCACCCGCUCAACGGCCAGAUGCGCCUGGGGCUGGCGGCGGCAGCGGCAGCCGCGGCGGCUGAGCUGUACGGCCGCGCCGAACCGCCCUUCGCGCCGCGCUCUGGGGACGCGCACUACGGGGCGGUUGCGGCCGCAGCGGCGGCCGCCCUGCACGGCUACGGAGCCGUGAACUUAAACCUGAACCUGGCGGCUGCGGCGGCCGCAGCAGCGGCCGGGCCCGGGCCCCACCUGCAGCACCACGCGCCGCCCCCGGCGCCGCCGCCGCCGCCGGCGCCCGCGCAGCACCCGCACCAGCACCACCCCCACCUCCCAGGGGCGGCUGGGGCCUUCCUGCGCUACAUGCGGCAGCCAAUCAAGCAGGAGCUCAUCUGCAAGUGGAUCGACCCCGACGAGCUGGCCGGGCUGCCGCCGCCGCCGCCGCCGCCGCCGCCGCCGCCGCCACCGCCCCCGGCCGGCGGCGCCAAGCCCUGCUCCAAAACUUUCGGCACCAUGCACGAGCUGGUGAAUCACGUCACGGUGGAGCACGUGGGAGGCCCCGAGCAGAGCAGCCACGUCUGCUUCUGGGAGGACUGUCCGCGCGAGGGCAAGCCCUUCAAGGCCAAAUACAAGCUCAUCAACCACAUCCGCGUGCACACCGGCGAGAAGCCCUUUCCCUGCCCUUUCCCCGGCUGCGGCAAGGUCUUCGCGCGCUCCGAGAACCUCAAGAUCCACAAGCGUACUCAUACAGUAAUUCGAUAGCACACACAGGCCCCGCGUUGGGUUCCCACACGGCGGAGUCUCCAGCGCGCCCGCAGCCCCUCGGCCGGGACCCGCAACGCGCGCCAGCCGCCGCCGCCGCCACCUCGGAGCAGACGCAGCAGCAGCUGGAGCAGGAAGGCGCCCAGGACGGGGAAAAGCCUUUCAAAUGUGAAUUUGAUGGCUGUGACAGGAAGUUUGCCAAUAGCAGUGAUCGGAAGAAACAUUCCCAUGUCCACACCAGUGACAAGCCCUACUACUGCAAGAUUCGAGGCUGUGACAAAUCCUACACUCACCCAAGCUCCCUGAGGAAGCACAUGAAGAUUCACUGCAAGUCCCCGCCACCUUCUCCAGGACCCCUUGGUUACUCAUCAGUGGGGACUCCAGUGGGCGCCCCCUUGUCCCCUGUGCUGGACCCAGCCAGGAGUCACUCCAGCACUCUGUCCCCUCAGGUGACCAACCUCAAUGAGUGGUACGUUUGCCAGGCCAGUGGGGCCCCCAGCCACCUCCACACCCCUUCCAGCAACGGAACCACCUCUGAGACUGAAGAUGAGGAAAUUUACGGGAACCCUGAAGUUGUGCGGACGAUACAUUAGAAUUUAUUAUUAAUAAUAAUAAGUGAAAUAAUAAGUGGGAGUCCUUGGACCACAUCCUAACCUGAGACAAUGCCGAGCCUGAGACAAACCCGUGACUCAGACUUGCCACCGGGUCUAAUUAGCCCUAUUUAUUCAGUAUGAAACCCUAUGGUGUUUGUACAUUUAAUUAAUUUAAUUAAGAUAUUUGGGCUUUUUUUUUUUUUUUUCUUAAAAAACAAACAAAAAACAACCAAGCUGGACUUGUACAUUGCAGGAGGAUGGGGCUGGGGGCAAAUUGUACCAAGGAAAAUGAAUGGAGAGAUUAGUUAAUGGCGAUACACACUGCCGAUGCAAUAUAUAUAUAUAUAUAUAUAUACAUAUAUAUAUAUAUUAUUUUUUUUAAAAGGGGGAGAAAAAGAGCAUUAAGUCAGAACUUAACACAGCACCAAGGCCCUCUGCAUUUCCCAGAGUGCCUCUCAAAUGCCUUUGACACCAUACCAUGGGCUGCUUUUGAGCCUCCUUGUUGGACCCUAAUUCUGCCAAGGCCUCUUGAUUGUAAACCACACACCUGCUGCAUUGCCAACAGAUCCUGUUCCGUACCUGUGUCCAAAAACAUUUGUAAAAACCCUUUGAGUUUAAUAUUUGUAAUUUUUAAUUUCCACUCUUUUAUUACUGAUCUUAGCUUAAUACAAUAUUUUUAUACAGGAUUAUUUCUUCAGUAUCCUACUGUGUGAUUUUAAAAAAAGAUGCAGCAACCUUAAUAUAUCUCCAUAUCUUGUGCUACUGUGAUUGUUCAAGCAAAAGUGGAGAGAAGAAAAGCUGCUGCAAAAGACAACUGUGAAACUGUGAUAUUUUAUAAAAUAGAAGAAAUUCAAGUGCUUUCUUUUUCCUAUAUGUUUUUUUUUUUUUAUCUGAAUUCUCAGAUACUGCCUCCUAACUGUGUCCAAACUUCUUGUGUAAUAAAGAGAUUCUGUUUUCGAUCCUAAGUUCUUUGGGAUGCCAACAUUCACAGUCAAGUCUUGAGGAGGUGUGAUGAUGGCAUCAUGCCUAUUUUUUUGGAAAGCUGUUGUUUUUAAAACAGGCCAACACCUCUUUUAUACUGUUGUAUCAGCCUUUUAAAAAGUCUAUUUUUCAAUGCCUGAAACUGCAUUUUAAUGCAUUUUCUUCCACCUGAGCACUGAGCACACCAAACUGGAAUCCAUUUGAAAAUGACAGUGUGUGAAGUGUAUGAUUUACAUUAAAAGAGGGGAGGGAGUUGCCAUACAUAUUAAAAAUUUUUAAAAGGUUUAUAGUUACCACCAAACACUGAUGAAUGUGUGACCUUUGCCAGAGCUGUCAAGCUAGGAUAAAAAAGGUCAAGGACCUAGGACAAUAACUCUUAGUCGAUUUAUUUUCGGUUGGUACAACACAUCUCCUGUGCAAAAUGUAGUCCAUCAGAAACAUCCUACAGAUACACUAAAGAGCACUAAUUUAUCCUUAGAGACCCCGAAGACACCCCCUCCCCAGGGUUUGUAGAAAUUUGUUUUGUGUGCUGUGAGUGGUUGAUGUAGUCUUGUCAUUGUUAAUAACUUGUAUGUGAACACUAUUAUUUGUACAGUUGAAUUAAUUUAUUUUCAGACAUCAUCCUUUUUUUUUUUCUUUCCUGGAAGAGUUCAAAGCACACCAAAGAAUUAUAUUAUACAUUUUGGUGAAAGAUUGUCAUUUAUGAUCCAUGGUUUAUUUAAAAAAAAAAGGAAAGAAAAUGGAAAAAUAUAUUUUUAAGCUUACUUGAAUGAACAACGUAAUGUGAAAACCAAGACUCUUCCUGCAUGUCUUUUUUGCAUUGUGUUGAUAAGAUUAUAUAUAGUUUAUAGAUAUAUUAUAUUACUAGUACAGUGCAUGGUGCUGUCACUUGGAAAGCCUUUCAAUGUUGUCUUCAGAUUGUUGUGAUGAAUAUGAAACAUGCAGACCCUCCUUUAUAAAGAAAAAGACCUUAAAACUUGAAUAUGAGAUAAUUUUACAUUUUAAAAGUUUAUUUGAUUUUCAUAUUAUUCACUUUCAAAGCCCUUUCAAAUAGAAAAGGUAUGAACUUUUGGGGGGAUAAUUUAUGUAUCGUAAACUUAUUAGAACAAAAUAUUCCUGAUGUAUAAUGAGUUGUUUUAUUUAUACAACUUUUUCAAUGGUAGUUUGCACUAUUCUUUAUUAUGCUACAGGUUUAUUUAUUAUGAAACAAAGGAAUAUGUAUUUUAUGUAUUUUACCAUGCAUAGGUUAACUCUUUGCCACAGAUUUAUUGGUUCUUGAUACACCUAAAAUAAAAAAAAAUGUGUACCUCCAAUAGAGAGCAAGCAAGAAUGAUUAUGAAGUAACAAAUUUAAUAAAGGUAUUCUUGUUAUUAUUGCUUAUGUUUUACAUAAUGGCAUAUCUCUCAUACAAAUAGAACAGGUUGCUAAUGGA